CUCGUCACAAUAGAAAAGCGGCUCUCAUGAAUCUGGUAAAGCCCUUUGUAAUUGCUUACGCCAUAACUUGGAAGCAGAAUGUAGAGACAAAUUUGGGGCUACGGGAAUUGGCGGCAGAAACGUAUGGAGACAUAAAAGGGGGGGUUUCAUGACGAUCAAGCGGCUUUCUUUUCGAGGCUUUAGCCUUCGCCCGCUUCCACAUUCAUCCAAACAAGACAUAAUGAGAGACCACUGAAACCUUCUUUUUUUCUCGCAUGCCACAUGACCAGAAAAGAGAAAGAUGCAGCCAUUGAUGCCGAUGGGCGCCUGACAGAGUUGGUAGUGCAUGCCGAAGCUUUAAUUUUGUGCAGAAAAAUUGAAAGGUGCAAACUGGAUAGGAC
rnacentral:lncRNA from 1 species